rnacentral:rRNA from 1 species
GCACAAACGCUGGCGGCGUGCUUAACACAUGCAAGUCGAACGGAAAGGCCCUUCGGGGUACUCGAGUGGCGAACGGGUGAGUAACACGUGGGUGAUCUGCCCUGCACUUUGGGAUAAGCCUGGGAAACUGGGUCUAAUACCGAAUAUGACCGCGCACUUCCUGGUGUGUGGUGGAAAGCUUUUGCGGUGUGGGAUGGGCCCGCGGCCUAUCAGCUUGUUGGUGGGGUAAUGGCCUACCAAGGCGACGACGGGUAGCCGGCCUGAGAGGGUGACCGGCCACACUGGGACUGAGAUACGGCCCAGACUCCUACGGGAGGCAGCAGUGGGGAAUAUUGCACAAUGGGCGCAAGCCUGAUGCAGCGACGCCGCGUGAGGGAUGACGGCCUUCGGGUUGUAAACCUCUUUCAAUAGGGACGAAGCGCAAGUGACGGUACCUAUAGAAGAAGGACCGGCCAACUACGUGC